rnacentral:lncRNA from 1 species
AUGAUCCACUGCACCAGGGACGUGGCCCAGGGCUGGUGGCCACGGCGAUGCCUGAGGCGAGCAGGACUAGAAAGGCCUCACUUGGACUUCAGGGGAGGGGGGCGUCGAGGCUGGGCUAGAGAGGCGGGCGAGAACGUCCUCCAGGUCUCAUUUCUCGCAAGCCUGAGAGGUCCAGCGGCCUUUCCUCCGGAGCUGCGGUCCACGAAGGAGCUUCAUGGCUGGGGCCAGGACUGCCAGAAGCCAAGCUCCAGGAGCCCUUGGCUUCAAAUGCUCUUGUUCCUGCCGCUGCUGCCGCUGNGCCCAUCUCGACUGGACUGUGCAAUUGUGCUCCCUGCUGCCUGGGCCAGGCUGCUGCUGCGCCUGGACCCACAUGGUGCCGCAAAACUAGGGUUGCUUCCUGCGGCUUCUGCAUGGCUUUGGCUCUGUCGAUGGUUGCUGUGUUUACUGCUUACGUCCCCCGAGCUGCCUGGCUGGGCCAAAUUCCNCUGCUGUGUCCCUUUGCCCUGCCUCCCAUCGUCUCUGAUAGCAACCAGUCCACUUACGAUAUUAAAGGCUAACCGGUCCCUUGGGNCAGAGAACCUCCUCAGCCUCCGGCACCUGGCCUUUCUCCACCGACGCCUGGCGCAAAGGGGCAGCUUGGCAGCUGCAGUGCUUGGCAAGGAGGUGGUGGCGGCAACCGUGACCUUUCCUCCCCAUGGCCUACUAAGAGAGCGUGGGACCAGGGAGCAUUCAGCCAAGGGCUUCCCAGCAGCCCCUCUGUUCCAGCUCCACUGGCGUCUUUGUUCAGAGAGUCACGGGCAGAGAAUGGGGCUGAGAAAGAGGCGCCUGCUCCCAGAAGCCCCAGGGGCACCUCCGUGUUCCUCAUUGCUGGGAAGACCCAGGGCCGAACUUUUCAUCCUUGGGAGAGCCCCACUGUGUACUCGGAAGAGAUGCUGUGCAGAGGCCUGUUAUGGUCCAGCUUUGCCUCUCAGAGGGCUGAGGGCUCAGCUUUCUCCCAGGGGGCCAAGAAGACCCCCCUGCCUUAGGGACUUCAGCUGCCCGGCCAAGGUGGAUGGAUGCACCUCACACACAGAGAGGCUUAGAGCGUUACAAGAGGCUGCGAGAAGGGUCUUUGAGGCUGUGGAACCCAGUCUUGUUGGCACACAAAAGCGUCUCCAAAAAAUGCCUGUCCAAGCAAACACUUCCGGGAGCAGGGACGUGCUAAACUGCUGA